rnacentral:rRNA from 1 species
AUUGAACGCUGGCGGCAGGCUUAACACAUGCAAGUCGAGCGGAGCGGCGGACGGGUGCGUAAUGCCUAGGAAUCUGCCUGGUCGUGGGGGAUAACGUCCGGUAACGGGCGCUAAUACCGCAUCCUAUCAGAUGAACCUAGGUCGGAUUAGCUAGUGGGUGGGGUAAAGGCCUACCCAGGCGACGAUCCGUAACUGGUCUGAGAGGAUGAUCAGUCACACUGGAACUGAGACACGGUCCAGACUCCUACGGGAGGCAGCAGUGGGGAAUAUUGGACAAUUGGCGAAAGCCUGAUCCAGCCAGGCCGCGUGUGUGAAGAAGGCCUUCGGGUUGUAAAGGACUUUUGUCAGGGAGGCGUUACCUGAAGAAGAAGCACCGGCUAACUACGUGCCAGCCGCCGCGGUAAUUC